UACAGAGGUGGCAAGCGUUGUUCGGAAUUACUGGGCGUAAAGGGCGCGUAGGCUGUGCUGUAAGUCAGGCGUGAAAGCCCCGGGCUCAACCUGGGAAUUGCGCUUGAUACUGCGGCGCUGGAAGGUGGGAGAGGAUGGCGGAAUUCCCAGUGUAGAGGUGAAAUUCGUAGAUAUCGAGAGGAACACCUGCGGCGAAGGCGGGUUGCUGGGCUGACACUGACGCUGAAGUGCGAAAGCUAGGGGAGCGAACGGG
rnacentral:rRNA from 1 species